UUGACUCUGGCAACAAUAUAGUUAACUACCAAUUUUUUAUAGUUGACAUCGUAAAAAUUAUAGUUAACUAUCUAAUUUUUAUAGUUGACUCUGGAAAAAAUAUAGUGAACUAUCCGAUUUUAUAGUUGACUCGGAUAUAUGACUGUAAAUUUUUAAGUUUUUCGACAACAAUGAUCUCUUCUUUGUUGUGGACUCUGAUAAAACAAAUUUCAUACGAAAUAAAUAUUUAUGAGUCAACAAAUAGUGCGACCAUAGAUAUGUAGAUCUAAAAAACAAGCUUGUUUACAAACUCCAUUUUUGAAUAAUCAACCAUGGAAGAAUUCUGAACCGUCGCAUAUGGUCGUCGCGUACUGUUGCAUACGGAUCUGUAGGAGUCUUCGAUUUGUCGCCCGGAGUCGCUGAUAAUGGUGUCAGAAAGAGAAAUUAUGGGGUAAAUGCACAAAAUUAGGUUAAUAGAAGUCGGUGAUAGAGAUGGAUGUAUAGGAAACUACCUGUCUUCUUCUUGCCGUUCUUCACCAUUGUUUGUCAAC
rnacentral:lncRNA from 1 species